AUAACUGCACAUUGCCUGGACGACUGCAGACCUUUCUUCGUGAGAAUAUAUCCUUCCGGGUAGUGCCACCUGCUUGUAGGCCAUACAAAAAUGUCUCCCGUCUAUGGACUUUCCACCUUCGUGCUUCUUAUCGUGACCUUCCUGGCGGCCGAAGGAGAGGCGUGCGACAUGGCUAAACAAGCCAUGAACGCAGUGUGUAGUAUCCUCGGACGCGAGGACAAGCCUGCCCAAAAUCUAUUUCUCUGAGGAAAAUUUCAGCAGCGGCACAAGUCCAGCCGAGUCUUGGCUCAACGCUUGUUGAAUAAAAGAGAAUGCGCUGCGUG